UCGGCAAUGGAAGGAAACUCUGACCGAGCAACGCCGGCGUGAAUGACGAAGUACUUUGGUAUGUAAAGUUCUUUUAUCAAGGAAGAAAAGCAAGUGGCGAACCAUUUGUUUGCCGGUACUUGAUGAAUAAGCCCCGGCUAAUUAUGUGCCAGCAGCCGCGGUAAGACAUAAGGGGCAAGUGUUAUCCGGAAUUAUUGGGCGUAAAGGGUGCGUAGGCGGUCUAGUAAGUCAGUGGUGUAAUGGCAACGCUUAACGUUGUCCGGCUAUUGAAACUGCUAAACUUGAGUUAGAUAGAGGCGAGUGGAAUUCCAUGUGUAGCGGUAAAAUGCGUAAAUAUAUGGAGGAACACCAGAGGCGUAGGCGGCUCGCUGGGUCUUAACUGACGCUGAGGCACGAAAGCGUGGGGAGCAAACAGGAUUAGAUACCCUGGUAGUCCACGCCGUAAACGAUGAGUACUAAGUGUCGGGUUAAACCGGUACUGAAGUUAACACAUUAAGUACUCCGCCUGAGUAGUACGUACGCAAGUAUGAAACUUAAAGGAAUUGACGGGACUCCGCACAAGCGGUGGAUCAUGUUGUUUAAUUCGAAGAUACCCGAAAAACCUUACCAGGUCUUGACAUGUUUUUGCGAAAUGAUAGUAAUAUCGUGGAGGUUACCAGAAGCACAGGUGGUGCAUGGUUGUCGUCAGCUCGUGUCGUGAGAUGUUAGGUUAAGUCCUAAAACGAGGCGAAACCCUUAUCGUUAGUUGCCAGCACGUUAUGGUGGGGACUUUAACGAGACUGCCAGUGAUAAAUUGGAGGAAGGUGAGGAUCACGUCAAAUCAGCAUGCCCCUUAUGACCUGGGCUACAAACGUGAUACAAUGGCUGUUACAAAGAGGUAGCU
rnacentral:rRNA from 1 species